AUUCCCACCAAAACAAUAACUCUAGCUUCCGAUCAAGGGGAAUAAUAUCAAGCGUGCAACUGAAGUGACUGAUGCAGCCUACUUCUUAAGGGCUAUGUCCAAGUCACGUACGUACAUUUGAAACGAAAUCACGCUGCAUCCAUNACGAAAUCACGCUGCAUCCAUCUAUCAAAGCCAAAACCAGCACCCUUUUCUUCAAUCUUUCUCCUUCCAGAAAGCAAUCAUUUUGGCAAUGACGAUGAGCGGUGCUCCAGAAAUUUCCAAG
rnacentral:misc_RNA from 1 species